ACAUCAAAACUAUUUACUCAAAAAGCUCCAAAGUUCCCACCGUAUAAUACUCCAAUUGAAGAAUAAAAGAAGCUGAAUCUUUCAAGUGGGUGUAUGCUCUUGGUUAGUGUUUUGGGUGUUAGGGAUUUUGCUCUAAGAGAGGAGAAGAUCACCCACCCCAUAAAGAGUAUUCACUUGAGCUCAAUGAGAUUUGCCGACCACGGACUCAUCCGGACAUCUUGAAGUUGUUGGGAGCGCUCCUCUUGAUCCUUCAUAGUUAUUCACAGGUAGCUGAGUAGGAGGUUGCUUCAGUUGCAGCUUGUACAGUUACUUCUUUUUGGUAGGCCUCCUACGGUUGGUGGCCAUGUUGAUGUCUUUUGUUGAUCUUUUUGGUAUUCUGCAGCUAUAGGGAAUAUGUAAUAAUUAUAUUUUGUAAGUGUAAAAGUUCUACGAUGUAUUUGAUGAUGUUACUUCUUGG